rnacentral:misc_RNA from 1 species
UGUGGGGUGGGCAGGCAACCUCCUUCCCGGCUGAUCAGAUUAGUAUUGCCGGCCAGGACUCACUCCAGAUUAUUAUCUUUGUUGGUACUCUUGCUAGAUCCUAUGCUGGUACCACUUCACUGACAGGUGGAUCGUCUUGCAAAUGGUACGUGAAUCCGCAGGUUCCAGAGGCAACAAGCCUUGCAGCCAGCUUGCAGCAUAAAAGGAGCCCAAUUAUGUCUGCUGCUGGUUCGACGCAGCGUGUGCCGAGGAUUUCUACCGCUGAGCAUAAGAAAGUAUCUGAAAUCAAACACCUGCAUCCAUUCAAGC